GGAGGUUAGUGCAAUGGCAUAAGCUAGCUUGACUGCGAGCGUGACGGCGCGAGCAGGUGCGAAAGCAGGUCAUAGUGAUCCGGUGGUUCUGAAUGGAAGGGCCAUCGCUCAACGGAUAAAAGGUACUCCGGGGAUAACAGGCUGAUACCGCCCAAGAGUUCAUAUCGACGGCGGUGUUUGGCACCUCGAUGUCGGCUCAUCACAUCCUGGGGCUGAAGUAGGUCCCAAGGGUAUGGCUGUUCGCCAUUUAAAGUGGUACGCGAGCUGGGUUUAGAACGUCGUGAGACAGUUCGGUCCCUAUCUGCCGUGGGCGCUGGAGAAUUGAGGGGGGCUGCUCCUAGUACGAGAGGACCGGAGUGGACGCAUCACUGGUGUUCGGGUUGUCAUGCCAAUGGCACUGCCCGGUAGCUAAAUGCGGAAGAGAUAAGUGCUGAAAGCAUCUAAGCACGAAACUUGCCCCGAGAUGAGUUCUCCCUGAGACUU
rnacentral:rRNA from 1 species